rnacentral:rRNA from 1 species
AGAGUUUGAUCCUGGCUCAGGAUGAACGCUAGCGGGAGGCCUAACACAUGCAAGUCGAACGGGAUUGGGAGCUUGCUCCCAUGAGAGUGGCGCACGGGUGAGUAACGCGUAUGCAACCUACCUUUAACAGAGGGAUAGCCCAUAGAAAUGUGGAUUAAUACCUCAUAGUUCUGAGAGACCGCAUGGUUUUUCAGAUAAAGCUCCGGCGGUUAAAGAUGGGCAUGCGUGACAUUAGUUAGUUGGUGAGGUAACGGCUCACCAAGACUACGAUGUCUAGGGGUUCUGAGAGGAUGAUCCCCCACACUGGUACUGAGACACGGACCAGACUCCUACGGGAGGCAGCAGUGAGGAAUAUUGGUCAAUGGGCGCAAGCCUGAACCAGCCAUCCCGCGUGAAGGAUGAAGGCCCUAUGGGUCGUAAACUUCUUUUAUACACCAAGAAAAAGCAGGACGUGUCCUGCCCCGACGGUAGUGUAUGAAUAAGCAUCGGCUAACUCCGUGCCAGCAGCCGCCGGUAAUA